CACUAUAGAAUACUCAAGCUAUGCAUCCAACGCGUUGGGAGCUCUCCCAUAUGGUCGACCUGCAGGCGGCCGCGAAUUCACUAGUGAUUAGAGUUUGAUCAUGGCUCAGGAUGAACGCUAGCGGCAGGCCUAACACAUGCAAGUCGAACGGUAACAUAGAUUGCUUGCAAUCUGAUGACGAGUGGCGCACGGGUGCGUAACGCGUAUGCAAUCUACCUUUUACAGGAGAAUAGCCCAGAGAAAUUUGGAAUAAUGCUCCAUAAUAUCAUGUAUCAGCAUUGAUUUAUGAUUAAAGCUCCGGCGGUAAAAGAUGAGCAUGCGUUCUAUUAGCUAGUAGGUGAGGUAACGGCUCACCUAGGCUACGAUAGAUAGGGGCCCUGAGAGGGGGAUCCCCCACACUGGUACUGAGACACGGACCAGACUCCUACGGGAGGCAGCAGUGAGGAAUAUUGGACAAUGGAGGAAACUCUGAUCCAGCCAUGCCGCGUGCAGGAUGACUGCCCUAUGGGUUGUAAACUGCUUUUAUAUAGGAAGAAACACUCCCACGUGUGGGGGCUUGACGGUACUAUAUGAAUAAGGAUCGGCUAACUCCGUGCCAGCAGCCGCGGUAAUACGGAGGAUCCAAGCGUUAUCCGGAAUCAUUGGGUUUAAAGGGUCCGCAGGCGGCCUGUUAAGUCAGAGGUGAAAUCCUACAGCUCAACUGUAGAACUGCCUUUGAUACUGAUAGGCUUGAGUUAUUGUGAAGUGGUUAGAAUGUGUGGUGUAGCGGUGAAAUGCUUAGAUAUCACACAGAAUACCCAUUGCGAAGGCAGAUCACUAACAAUAUACUGACGCUCAUGGACGAAAGCGUGGGGAGCGAACAGGAUUAGAUACCCUGGUAGUCCACGCCGUAAACGAUGGAUACUAACUGUUCGACCUUCGGGUUGAGUGGUCAAGCGAAAGUGAUA
rnacentral:rRNA from 1 species